CCCUUAGAUGUUCUGGGCCGCACGCGCGCUACACUGAUGAAUGCAACGAGCUCUACCCUUGACCGAAAGGCCCGGGUAAACUUGUGAAACUUCAUCGUGAUGGGGAUAGAUUAUUGCAAUUAUUAAUCUUCAACGAGGAAUUCCUAGUAAGCGCGAGUCAUCAGCUCGCGUUGAUUACGUCCCUGCCCUUUGUACACACCGCCCGUCGCUCCUACCGAUUGAAUGGUCCGGUGAAAUCUUCGGAUUGCUGACCAAGAUCCAGCAAUGGAGCUUGGUUGCGAGAAGUUGAUUAAACCUUAUUAUUGAGAGGAAGGAGAAGUCGUAACA
rnacentral:rRNA from 1 species